rnacentral:snRNA from 1 species
AUACCUUUCUUGGCCGAGAGGCCAAGAUCAAGUGUAGUAUCUAUUUGAUACGUGGAUUUUCAAAUCCAUCCUAUGAUAUUAAUUUAUUUUUUUAUGAAGGAGGGCCCACCACAGCAGCUAGCUGCUAGGGCCCUUGAGCGUCGUCAUGGUCUUGCACUAUAGCCUUGAAUUGAUGCACCCCAA